AGUCGUAACAAGGUAUCCGUAGGUGAACCUGCGGAUGGAUCAUUAUAGGUUAUUUUGAAUGUUGUGUGAACAGUGUGGUUGCAGGUUGUGGUGGGUAUGUGAUAUAUUAUAUGAUAUGAUAUAUGUGAUAUAUUAUAUGAUGUAUGUUAUAUGGUAUAUUAUAUAUGAUGUAUGAUAUAUGGUAUCAUCCACCUUGACAACAUUGACGUACAUUAGUGCUGAAUAUCAUUAUAUUGAAAUAUAAACAACUUUCAGCAAUGGAUCUCUUGGCUCUC
rnacentral:misc_RNA from 1 species